rnacentral:rRNA from 1 species
UACAGAGGUCUCAAGCGUUGUUCGGAUUCAUUGGGCGUAAAGGGUGCGCAGGCGGCGUCACGCGUGGCUAGAUGAAAUCUCCUGGCUUACCUGGGAGGGUGGUAGCCAGACGGUGGCGCUUGAGGGUCGGAGAGGGGCGUGGAAUUCCGGGUGGAGCGGUGAAAUGCGUAGAGAUCCGGAGGAACACCGACGGCGUAGGCAGCGCCCUGGACGACACCUGAUGCUGAGGCACGGAAAGCUGGGGGAGCAAACGGG